rnacentral:misc_RNA from 1 species
GGAAUAGGAUAUUUGGGAUUUGAAAAGCUUACUUUUGUCCCCAUACAGACUAAACUGGUGGACAUAUCUUUGCUCUCUGUUGCGGAAGUGGAGUGGCUCAAUAGUUACCAUUUGCAAGUUUGGGAGAAGGUUUCACCUCUGCUGGAUGGCUCUGCACGUCAAUGGCUUUGGAACAACACACAACCUAUUACAAAGCUGUAAUUUCUUUAUACAUGCUGUCAAUAAUACGUUAUUCUAUCUUUCAUCCAUUCUUGUACAUAGGAGAUAAAUAAUUUGAUAAUUUAGAGUAACAGCUUCUGAUACACAGUAUAGAC